AUGAACGCUAGCUACAGGCUUAACACAUGCAAGUCGAGGGGCAGCAUCAUCAAAGCUUGCUUUGAUGGAUGGCGACCGGCGCACGGGUGAGUAACACGUAUCCAACCUGCCGACAACACUGGGAUAGCCUUUCGAAAGAAAGAUUAAUACCGGAUGGCAUAAUUAUUCCGCAUGGGAUAAUUAUUAAAGAAUUUCGGUUGUCGAUGGGGAUGCGUUCCAUUAGGCAGUUGGCGGGGUAACGGCCCACCAAACCUACGAUGGAUAGGGGUUCUGAGAGGAAGGUCCCCCACAUUGGAACUGAGACACGGUCCAAACUCCUACGGGAGGCAGCAGUGAGGAAUAUUGGUCAAUGGACGAGAGUCUGAACCAGCCAAGUAGCGUGAAGGAUGACUGCCCUAUGGGUUGUAAACUUCUUUUAUACGGGAAUAAAGUGAGCCACGUGUGGCUUUUUGUAUGUACCGUAUGAAUAAGGAUCGGCUAACUCCGUGCCAGCAGCCGCGGUAAUACGGAGGAUCCGAGCGUUAUCCGGAUUUAUUGGGUUUAAAGGGAGCGUAGGCGGGUUGUUAAGUCAGUUGUGAAAGUUUGCGGCUCAACCGUAAAAUUGCAGUUGAUACUGGCGACCUUGAGUGCAACAGAGGUAGGCGGAAUUCGUGGUGUAGCGGUGAAAUGCUUAGAUAUCACGAAGAACUCCGAUUGCGAAGGCAGCUUACUGGAUUGUAACUGACGCUGAUGCUCGAAAGUGUGGGUAUCAAACAGGAUUAGAUACCCUGGUAGUCCACGCCGUAAACGAUGGAUACUAGGUGUGGGAGGUAUUGACCCCUUCCGUGCCGCAGUUAACACAAUAAGUAUCCCACCUGGGGAGUACGGCCGCAAGGUUGAAACUCAAAGGAAUUGACGGGGGCCCGCACAAGCGGAGGAACAUGUGGUUUAAUUCGAUGAUACGCGAGGAACCUUACCCGGGCUUAAAUUGCAACUGACGGAACCGGAAACGGUUCUUUCUUCGGACAGUUGUGAAGGUGCUGCAUGGUUGUCGUCAGCUCGUGCCGUGAGGUGUCGGCUUAAGUGCCAUAACGAGCGCAACCCUUACGGGUAGUUACCAUCAGGUUAUGCUGGGGACUCUACCCGGACUGCCGUCGUAAGAUGUGAGGAAGGUGGGGAUGACGUCAAAUCAGCACGGCCCUUACGUCCGGGGCUACACACGUGUUACAAUGGGGGGUACAGAAGGCAGCUACACGGCGACGUGGUGCUAAUCCCGAAAGCCUCUCUCAGUUCGGAUUGGAGUCUGCAACCCGACUCCAUGAAGCUGGAUUCGCUAGUAAUCGCGCAUCAGCCACGGCGCGGUGAAUACGUUCCCGGGCCUUGUACACACCGCCCGUCAAGCCAUGAAAGCCGGGGGUACCUGAAGUACGUAACCGCGAGGAGCGUCCUAGGGUAAAACUGGUGAUUGGGGCU
rnacentral:rRNA from 1 species